GACGAACGCUGGCGGCGUGCCUAAUACAUGCAAGUUGAGCGAUGAAGAUUGGUGCUUGCACCAAUUUGAAGAGCAGCGAACGGGUGAGUAACGCGUGGGGAAUCUGCCUUUGAGCGGGGGGCAACAUUUGGAAACGAAUGCUAAUACCGCAUAACAACUUUAAACAUAAGUUUUAAGUUUGAAAGAUGCAAUUGCAUCACUCAAAGAUGAUCCCGCGUUGUAUUAGCUAGUUGGUGAGGUAAAGGCUCACCAAGGCGAUGAUACAUAGCCGACCUGAGAGGGUGAUCGGCCACAUUGGGACUGAGACACGGCCCAAACUCCUACGGGAGGGAGCAGUAGGGAAUCUUCGGCAAUGGACGAAAGUCUGACCGAGCAACGCCGCGUGAGUGAAGAAGGUUUUCGGGUCGUAAAAAUCUGUUGGUAGAGAAGAAAGUUGGUGAGAGUGGAAAGCUCAUCAAGUGACGGUAACUAACCAGAAAGGGACGGCUAACUACGUG
rnacentral:rRNA from 1 species